rnacentral:rRNA from 1 species
AUUGAACGCUGGCGGCAUGCCUUACACAUGCCAGUCGAACGGCAGCACGGGUGCUUGCACCUGGUGGCGAGUGGCGAACGGGUGAGUAAUACAUCGGAACAUGUCCUGUAGUGGGGGAUAGCCCGGCGAAAGCCGGAUUAAUACCGCAUACGAUCUACGGAUGAAAGCGGGGGACCUUCGGGCCUCGCGCUAUAGGGUUGGCCGAUGGCUGAUUAGCUAGUUGGUGGGGUAAAGGCCUACCAAGGCGACGAUCAGUAGCUGGUCUGAGAGGACGACCAGCCACACUGGGACUGAGACACGGCCCAGACUCCUACGGGAGGCAGCAGUGGGGAAUUUUGGACAACGGGCGAAAGCCUGAUCCAGCAAUGCCGCGUGUGUGAAGAAGGCCUUCGGGUUGUAAAGCACUUUUGUCCGGAAAGAAAUCCUUGGCCCUAAUACGGUCGGGGGAUGACGGUACCGGAAGAAUAAGCACCGGCUAACUACGUG